UCUGAGAGCAGGAUGCUCCACUGACCCCCCGCCAACCCAUCCUCUCUGGCUGGGACACCCAGAGAAAUGGAUAUUUUCAGGGGUAGCGGAGGAAGGCGUGGAGGACUAACAGUACCAAAUAUCCCUUUGGCUGAGAGGCUGAGAGCGAGGCCAAGAGAUGUGGUGACAGAGGAGACUGUCCCGGGACACGAAAGGACAUGGCAUUCCCUUUGCCACUGUUGAGGCGCUCUGGGCUGAAUCUAUUCCUGGGGUUGGCGCUGGAAUGGAAAGAGGCUACAAAAGAGGAAAAUUCUCCUCAUAAGAGGUCUCUGCCCAUGUGCCCCAGCUUUGAUCAUAGCGAAGUAUGGCGAUACAAACUUUCUCAUUUAAUCUUCAUGUCAGUCAUCAAAAAGAAAAUGAGCACCCUCCCCACCACAGAAGACAGACCUCAGCCCUUCCUAAGCUGCCCAGAAGGCCAGACUCUAAAGGAGGAGAAGUUUCCACUAGCUAUGGAUGGAAGUGACCAGAAUAAGAUGGAUUCCAGAGGGGAAUAACAGUGUCCGCUAUGGAGGAAAUGCAGCCACCAGAAAGAGAGGAGCUAGAGGACGCUUUUUUCACUCACUCACCCUCAUUCACUCUUGCUCACUCACUCACCUGGCAAAUACCUGUUGGCCUUCCACCCCUUGCCAGGCACUGUGCUAGGCAAGGGGGCAGAGCAAAAAGGAGUUAACAGUGGCCUUGUGAUGCUCCCAGCCAAGAUGGAGCAGCAGAUACAAACAAGCCCUGUAAUUACAAUACAGAGUGGGAAACGCCACCAAAGGGCGGAGGGCAGGGUGCUGUGGGGGCAGGGGAGGGUCACGUUAGCAUCGGGCCUCUGUGCUCACACGCUCUCCCAUGGCGAGUGCAUUCACCCCCACUUGUUCCAUCUGUUUCUUUGUUUUUGUAGUUCUUAUUUCUGCCUUUGUUUUUCCUUCACUUUCCUA